UGCAGUCGAGCGAAUGAUGAGGAGCUUGCUCCUCUGAUUUAGCGGCGGACGGGUGAGUAACACGUGGGUAAUCUGCCUGUAAGACGGGGAUAACUCCGGGAAACCGGGGCUAAUACCGGAUAAUAAGAGAAGAAGCAUUUCUUCUUUUUGAAAGUCGGUUUCGGCUGACACUUACAGAUGAGCCCGCGGCGCAUUAGCUAGUUGGUGAGGUAACGGCUCACCAAGGCGACGAUGCGUAGCCGACCUGAGAGGGUGAUCGGCCACACUGGGACUGAGACACGGCCCAGACUCCUACGGGAGGCAGCAGUAGGGAAUCUUCGGCAAUGGGCGAAAGCCUGACCGAGCAACGCCGCGUGAGCGAUGAAGGCCUUCGGGUCGUAAAGCUCUGUUGUUAGAGAAGAACAAGUACGAGAGUAACUGCUCGUACCUUGACGGUACCUAACCAGAAAGCCACGGCUAACUACGUGCCAGCAGCCGCGGUAAUACGUAGGUGGCAAGCGUUAUCCGGAAUUAUUGGGCGUAAAGCGCGCGCAGGCGGUCUCUUAAGUCUGAUGUGAAAGCCCACGGCUCAACCGUGGAGGGUCAUUGGAAACUGGGAGACUUGAGUGCAGGAGAGAAAAGUGGAAUUCCACGUGUAGCGGUGAAAUGCGUAGAGAUGUGGAGGAACACCAGUGGCGAAGGCGGCUUUUUGGCCUGUAACUGACGCUGAGGCGCGAAAGCGUGGGGAGCAA
rnacentral:rRNA from 1 species